AGUGAACGCUGGCGGUAGGCCUAACACAUGCCAGUCGAACGGCAGCACAGUAAGUUCUUGCUCUUACGGGUUGCGAGUGGCGGACGGGUGAGGAAUACAUCGGAAUCUACUUUUUCGUGGGGGCUAACGUAGGUAAACUUACUCUAAUACCGCAUACGACCUACGGGUGAAAGCAGGGGAUCUUCUGACCUUGCGCUAUUGAAUGAGCCGAUGUCGGAGUAGCUAGGUGGCGGGGUAAAGGCCCACCAAGGCGACGAUCCGUAUAUGGUCUGAGAGGAUGAUCAGCCACACUGGAACUGAGACAAGGUCCAGACUGCUACGGGAGGCAGCAGUGGAGAAUAUUGAACAAUGGGCGCAAGCGUGAUACAGCCAUACCGCGUGGGUGAAGAAGGCCUUCGGGUUGUAAAGCCCUUUUGUUGGGAAAGAAAAGCAGCAGGUUAAUAACCCGCUGUUCUGACGGUACCCAAAGAAUAAGCACCGGCUAACUUCGUG
rnacentral:rRNA from 1 species